GACGUAGGGGGCGAGCGUUGUCCGGAUUCAUUGGGCGUAAAGAGCGUGUAGGCGGCCAGAUAGGUCCGUUGUGAAAACUCGAGGCUCAACCUCGAGACGCCGAUGGAAACCAUUUGGCUAGAGUCCGGAAGAGGAGAGUGGAAUUCCUGGUGUAGCGGUGAAAUGCGCAGAUAUCAGGAAGAACACCCGUGGCUAAGGCGGCUCUCUAGUACGGUACUGACGCUGAGACGCGAAAGCGUGGGGAGCGAACAGG
rnacentral:rRNA from 1 species